UCCUCUUUCAAACCUUUGCAGCGCUAACAUUUGCUUUUCCGCUUUAACUUGCUUUAACUCGCGUUAACCGCGAUAACUUGCUUUUUGGCUUACCUUUUGUUGCGAUCACGCAUCAGACUGCUCGAUUUUUUUGACAGCGAGAACUGUCAAAAGCAAAUGACAGUUCUCGUUGUCAAACCAUUCGAGCAGUUUGCUUUGUUUUCCUCUUGAAAGAAAAGUCUCAGGGAAAAAUCAUCCGCCGGAACCGUUUCCUAAGCCUGCCACAGAUUUCCUUGUGAAGACAGCCUUCUCAGGUUGGGAAUUCGCAAAAAGGAUUGACCGGGAACGGCCAAGAAGGGCACGCUCUACAUCGACGGGACGCGGUCCGUCUUCAAGCGUGCCACCCGGACGAACCUCUCCAGCGCCGCUGGUCUGAGCAGAUGCAAGUUGUGACAAUAUCAACGAAUCGUGCGCAUUUGCUUCCGGAGUUGAUCACGUUGACUUGAGGCGAGCAGACUGAAGGAACCGUGGAGAAGAGUGGUGCCAACCUGGAGGUGGUCAGAGAGAUCCUUGAGCUGACCGUGACAAUUAGGGCAUUCUAAAAUCUGUCGGAGUGCUAAUCGGAACUGGCCGGAAUCUCGUUCGAGAAAACUCACGAUGUUAAAGCGACUAAGUGAUCGACAAAAUGCAACGGAACAGAACGACAAUGCCAAGACCUCCAUCAAGAUACUCGAAGAGUCAAGAUUGCGGACGUUGAGGAACCGAAGAAACGGUGGUUCAAGAAGGACUCGACCUCGAACCACGUGAAAACUUUAAGAAAUGUGACCAUCCAGGAUAGUGCUUCGCAAACUGUCCGUCAAUUAAGACGCAACACUUCUGUGAACAGUAACUAAUAAAUUGUAGAGGGAUGCGUUUUUUAAAUAAAUAAAUCUUCCGCUGAAGGAAACUAAACUGCAUC